rnacentral:rRNA from 1 species
UACGGAGGGGGCUAGCGUUGUUCGGAAUUACUGGGCGUAAAGCGCGCGUAGGCGGACCUGCAAGUCGGGGGUGAAAGCCCGAGGCUCAACCUCGGAACUGCCUUCGAUACUGCGGGUCUCGAGUCCGGGAGAGGUGAGUGGAAUUCCUAGUGUAGAGGUGAAAUUCGUAGAUAUUAGGAAGAACACCAACGGCGAAAGCACUCUGCUGGGCCGACACUGACACUGAGAGACGAAAGCUAGGGGAGCGAAUGGG